rnacentral:lncRNA from 7 species
GCAUUUAGAACAUCAAAUUAGUUCCGUCAUUUUUUCUAUGAAAUCUGUUUUGAUGGAGCAUUUAUUUGAACUUGUAGAUGCUACUAUAUUUUUCUAAAAACUUGGUCAAAGUUAAAGAAGUUUGACUUAAGACAAAGCUAAAUUGAACUAUAAUUUGGAAUGGAGUAGGAUAGAACAUGUUCUAUGGCUCUUGUUUUAAACCUAAGGUUCUUAAGUUAUUAAUUGCUACUGUAAUUAUGAAGAGACUGAUUUCGUUGUUGUACUGAUGUGCCACUCAUGAGGAACCAACGCAUCAUUUACCAACCCCUUUGUUUGGGAAAAAAAAUAAAGCGACACAUGAUUAGUACAAGCGGCACAAGCAAUUGACCCUAUAAGAAAAGGUAAUGAAGGGAUUAAUUGUAUUUGCUAGCGAUUGGAAAUCGAUUAUAGUUUGAACGAGGAAUUCAGGGUGAUCCCAGGACUGAGAGAAUAUGGCGACCACUACUUCGACACAGACAAUUGAUGGCUCAUACAGUCAUACCACUGUAUGGUUGUGUGAAAAUCCCACUUGGUCCCUGGAUAGGAAUGAUAUCUUGCAAGUAAUAUUCAAUAUGGAGGCGUAAUUGUGUUUAAUAGUCGGCAUGCCUUAGUAAUGUGUACAACCUUCUACAUAAAGCUUGACCAAGGACAAUGGGGAUGCUAGAGAAGGAUAUGUGAAUGGAGAAUGUGGUGUAUGUUUUGUCUUGUACGGGUGCAGAAACAUUGAUGUUUUCAAAUAAAUGUCUUUGAUUCAAAUAAUUCUCGGUGGAGAAGUUAUGAGAUCAAAUUUAC